GGGAGGGGUACAACAGCAGGAAACAGCUGCUAAUACUAAUACCCCGUAGCUGAGGAGCAAAAGGAGGAAUCCGAGAGAGGAGGGGCGAAGACAUGAAACCAAGUUGGAGAGGUUAAGGCAAUAAAAUUGGGAAACCGAGGUGUAGAGGUGAGAGGGAGAAGACGCUCGACGAGAAAAGGGAGGAGAGGGGCGAAGCGGCUGAUUAGCUAGUUGGUGAGGCAAUAGCUUAGCGAUGAUCAAUAGCUGGUCUGAGAGGAUGAUCAGCCACACUAGGACUGAGACAGGGCCCAGACUCCUACGGGAGGCAGCAGUGGGGAAUUUCCGCAAUGGCCGAAAGCCUGACGGAGCAAUGCCGCGUGGAGGUAUAAAUAAGGUCUACUGGUCGUGAACUUCUUUUCCCAAGAAGCAAUGACGGUAUUUGGGGAAUAAGCAUCGGCUAACUCUGUGCCAGCACGGUAAUACUGCAAAGGAUGCAAGCGUUACGUUAUCCGGAAUGAUUGGGCGUAAAGCGUCUGUAGGUGGCUUUUGAAGUCCGCCGUCAAAUCCCAGCAACCCUGGACAGGCGGUGGAAAUUACCAAGCUGGAGUACGAUAGGGGCAGAGGGAAUUUCCGGUUGAGCGGUGAAAUGCGUAGAGAUUGGAAAGAACACCAACGGCGAAAGCAGCUGGGACGACACUGAGACUGAGAGAUGAAAGCUACGGGGAGAGGAUUAGAUACCUCAGUAGUCCUACUAGCCGUAAACGAUGGAUACUAGGCACUGACCCGUGUAGUGCUGUAGCUAACGAAGUAUCCCGCCUGAGCAGUACGUUCGCAAGAAUGAAACUCAAAGGAAUUGACGGGGCCGUGGAGCAUUUUAAUUCGAUGCAAAGCGAAGAACCUUACCAGGGCUUGACAUGCCGCGAAUACUCGUGAAAGAGAGGGCUGUCUUCGGGAAUGCGGACAUAGGUGGUGCAUGGCUGUCGUCAGCUCGUGCCGUAAGGUGUUGGGUUGGGUUAAGUCCCGCAACGAGCGCAACCCUCGUGUUUAGUUGCCAACUGUUGAGGUUGGAACCCUGAGUAGACUGCCGGUGAUAAGCCGGAGGAAGGUGAGGAGUCAAGUCAUCAUGCCCUUGAUGCCCUGGGUGACACACGUGCUACAAUGGCCGGGACAAAGGGUCGUGAUCCCACUGAGCUAACUCCAAAAACUCGUUCUCAGUUCGGAUUCUAGGCUGCAACUCGCUCGCAUCAAGCCGAAAUCGCUAGUAAUCCCCGGUCAGCCAUACGUUCAUUCGUUCCCGGGCCUUGUACACAUCGCCCGUCACACUAUGGGAGCUGGCCAUGCCCGAAGUCAUUACCUUAACCGCAAUGAGGGGGAUGCCGAAGGCAGGGCUAGUGACUGGAGUUCAGUCGUAACAAGGUAGACGUACUGGAAGGUGCGGUUG
rnacentral:rRNA from 1 species